rnacentral:rRNA from 1 species
UCGAACGCUUCUUUUUCCACCGGAGCUUGCUCCACCGGAAAAAGAGGAGUGGCGAACGGGUGAGUAACACGUGGGUAACCUGCCCAUCAGAAGGGGAUAACACUUGGAAACAGGUGCUAAUACCGUAUAACAAUCGAAACCGCAUGGUUUUGAUUUGAAAGGCGCUUUCGGGUGUCGCUGAUGGAUGGACCCGCGGUGCAUUAGCUAGUUGGUGAGGUAACGGCUCACCAAGGCGACGAUGCAUAGCCGACCUGAGAGGGUGAUCGGCCACAUUGGGACUGAGACACGGCCCAAACUCCUACGGGAGGCAGCAGUAGGGAAUCUUCGGCAAUGGACGAAAGUCUGACCGAGCAACGCCGCGUGAGUGAAGAAGGUUUUCGGAUCGUAAAACUCUGUUGUUAGAGAAGAACAAGGAUGAGAGUAACUGUUCAUCCCUUGACGGUAUCUAACCAGAAAGCCACGGCUAACUACGUGCCA